AUUGAACGCUGGCGGCAGGCUUAACACAUGCAAGUCGAACGAGUGGCGGACGGGUGAGUAAUGUCUGGGAAACUGCCUGAUGGAGGGGGAUAACUACUGGAAACGGUAGCUAAUACCGCAUACCAUCAGAUGUGCCCAGAUGGGAUUAGCUAGUAGGUGGGGUAAUGGCUCACCAAGGCGACGAUCCCUAGCUGGUCUGAGAGGAUGACCAGCCACACUGGAACUGAGACACGGUCCAGACUCCGACGGGAGGCAGCAGUGGGGAAGAUUGCACAAUGGGCGCAAGCCUGAUGUAGCCAUGCCGCGUGUGUGAAGAAGGCCUUCGGGUUGUAAAGUACUUUCAGCGGGGAGGCGUUACUCGCAGAAGAAGCACCGGCUAACUCCGUGCCAGCAGCCGCGGUAAUAC
rnacentral:rRNA from 1 species